UACGAAGGGGGCUAGCGUUGCUCGGAAUCACUGGGCGUAAAGGGUGCGUAGGCGGGUCUUUUAAGUCAGGGGUGAAAUCCUGGAGCUCAACUCCAGAACUGCCUUUGAUACUGAGGAUCUUGAGUAUGGGAGAGGUGAGUGGAACUGCGAGUGUAGAGGUGAAAUUCGUAGAUAUUCGCAAGAACACCAGUGGCGAAGGCGGCUUACUGGUCCGGUUCUGACGCUGAGGCACGAAAGCGUGGGGAGCAAACAGG
rnacentral:rRNA from 1 species